CCUCAGCUGGGGCUGAUUGGUAGCCCUGCAAAAGCUGGAGAGAGAAAAAGGCUGCAGGGCAGAAGGGAGAGAUGACUACCAAAGAGGCUGAGGAACCCACUGAGAGCAGAGGUCUUCAUCAGUGGACAAGUGAGAAGCUGCGCAGAUAGUCGGACCUCCAAAAGAAGAGGAUCACAGAAUGUAAAACUAAAAGAAAUUAACUGAAGGUGGAGAAGGGCCUAUGAAAGUACUAAUCACCAGACAGAACGGAGACAGCUUAUCUCUCUGAUCAACAGAUACUGGUUUUAAAUCACAGUGCUCUGUGGGAAGGCCAUUGUGUAGCUGGACCAUGAGGGAAGACUGGAUAUGAGCCAUCACUUGGCAGGCCUGAGAGAGGGGGGAAGUCUUCACUAGCCUAAUGCCAGAAGAGCUGGCUCCUGUACCAACUGCUUCACCACCUUCCCCGACCCAUCCCAGCACAGAGGGAUCUACAGAUGAAUCACACGUCAUUUGGCUCUUUCAUUUCCUGUAAUAAAAUGGGCUCGGAAGAAUAUCGGCACACUAUCAGGAGAGUGGCAGCAUGCACAAAACAGUGAAUAAAGAGAAUGCUAAAGCUGGGCUGUUUGAUGUGCAGUCUCCUCUGAUAUCAGAAACUUUUUCUCUUAGGAAAAAGAAGCCAGAAGCCUUUACCUACCAAAAAAAGAAUCUUUGAUCUCCCCUUUUAUGUUUUUUUCCUCCAACAAGAGCCAUGCCAGCAUUACAGAAGUAGCCAUCUGCAAAACAAUUUGCAAACUAGCUGUGAACACAGCUUGCUUUAGAGAAAUAAUAAACUUUCACAUAAUGGCAUGCACGUGGCAUCAAUUUUUGUGAUGUUGCUCUCCCCCCACCCCCACCCCGGGAAAAAAAAAAAAAGCUUGUGUAGAAGAUAGAUGUCAAAGGCAUCAGUCCUACACACAACUGUAAAUAUUUGCCUUGAAAAAGCAUGUGGUACAUCCUGUAAUUCUUGGCUGAGCCUGAUAAUCUGGUGGCAGCUUAAUUGGUUGUUAGUGGACUAAAACAAAGAAUCCGUUAAAUAAAUUAAAUAAACAUCUUGGGGCCUGAUUUCUCAGAGGUGCUGAGCUGCUGCAGUCUUUUUUGGCUUCCCUGCGAGUUUUGGGUGCUCAAUAUUUCCGUAAAUCAGAGCUUUGGCUGGCAAUUCAAAGUUAAAGCAUAGUUCAAACAAGGUCCCAGUCCCAGAAUAAAAUCCCCAAACCAAGAUUUUCAAAAAUGGGUGGCUAAAAUUAGGCUCCUAAAUCCUUAUUUGUAUUCCUGUAUAAUGGCUGGAUUUUUCAAAACUUCUGAGCAUUCAGUAGCUUCCAAUCUGAUUAGAGAUGACUGUAGGGUGGGUUGGAAAAUAAUUCUGUUUUGAGGGGAAA